CCGACCGUUCGUACCGGCAAUAGUCAAUCGCAUCUGCCGAGACAGGAGAAGUCGCGACCCGAUGAAGACGAAAAGACGACGACGGUGACGACGACGACCUGCGGACUUGAGACGACUCCGACUGCAGCGGUAUUCAUAUCAUGGUAUCGUGGCCAGGUGUAGCAGAGACGGCCAUUAUAUUAUAACGUGUAGGUACACUCGUAAUGCGUGUGACGAGACUCACGGAUUUACGUCUGGAGAAUUCGAAUCAACGGAUUAUAAUGUGCCCUCGAUGUACACAGACGACGAACCAACGUUGCGUACUGCAUAAUAUAUCAUUCCGACACAAUAUAACCGAAAUGGUACUGCACCGCGGAUGUGAAGAGGAAAUGAAAAACAAUAAUAAAGAUGUGCCACACCGCACGGCGUUGACGUACGAGCUGCUCUGUCCGUCCUUCCGUCCUCGUCCAGGCACCGAUGCAGAGCUGCAAAUGUCGACGAAUUCGACGAAUAAUGCAUGGCACCCUGUACGUAUACUAAAUGUAUCCUGAGUGCAUUAUAAAACUGUCCGGUAUACCUUCAGUAUACGUAACAGGGUGCCAUACCGAUCUUCCAGAAGUGGUCCCGUGACGAGUUCUGCGCCGCAUCACUACACGAAGUCGCCUCUUCGCGUACAAUUUGAUGACAUUUUUUUUACACAUAUUUAUAUGUAUACAUAGUAUCGCCAUUCGUCGGGUGUUACCGUAAAUACAUGCAAAAUAAUUAGAUUGUUACAAGAAAAAAAUCAACGCGCAUAUUAUAU